rnacentral:rRNA from 1 species
UUAAAGGGCCGCGGUAAUUUGACCGUGCGAAGGUAGCAUAAUCAUUAGUUUUUUAAUUGGAAGCUUGUAUGAAAGGUCGGAUGAGGGGUAAGCUGUCUCUUUGUAAACUUUGAAAUUUAACUUUUAAGUGAAAAGGCUUAAAUUUUAUAAGGUGACGAUAAGACCCUAUAAAACUUUAUAUGGUUGUUUUCAUUUUAAGAAUUUGUAAUUUAAUUGUAAAGGUGUUAUAUUUUGUUGGGGAGACAUAGAUAUAAUAAAUAAUAACUGUCUAUAUAAAUAAAAUAAGUAUAAGAAGCUCGUGAUCCUUUAUUGGAGAUUAUAAGAUUAAGUUACUUUAGGGAUAACAGCGUGAUUUUCUUUGAGAGUUCUUAUCGACGGGAAUAGUUGCGACCUCGAUGUUGAAUUAAAAUUUCCUUGGGGUGUAGCAGCUCUUAAGGUGGGUCUGUUCGACCUUUAAAAUUUU